UAGGUUUGAUCCUGGCUCACAUCAACGCUGGCGGCGUGCCUAACACAUGCAAGUCGAACGCGAAAGUGGAGCAAUCCAUGAGUAGCGUGGCAAACGGGUGAGUAACACGUGGGUGACCUGCCUUCGAGCGGGGGAUAACGUCCCGAAAGGGACGCUAAUACCGCAUGACAUCCUGCCUUUGAAGAGGUGGAGAUCAAAGCCGGGGAUCGCAAGACCUGGCACUCGAUGAGGGGCCCGCGCCUGAUUAGCUAGUUGGUGAGGUAACGGCUCACCAAGGCAACGAUCAGUAUCCGGCCUGAGAGGGCGGACGGACACACUGGGACUGAGACACGGCCCAGACUCCUACGGGAGGCAGCAGUGGGGAAUUGUUCGCAAUGGGCGCAAGCCUGACGACGCAACGCCGCGUGGAGGAUGAAGAUCUUCGGGUCGUAAACUCCUUUCGAUCGAGACGAAUGGCUUUCACUUUAAUAAAGUGGAAGAGUGACGGUACCGAGAGAAGAAGCCCCGGCUAACUCCGUGCCAGCAGCCCCGGUCA
rnacentral:rRNA from 1 species